rnacentral:rRNA from 1 species
UACAGAGGUCUCAAGCGUUGUUCGGAUUCAUUGGGCGUAAAGGGUGCGUAGGUGGCGGGGCAAGUUUGGUGUGAAAUCCCGGGGCUCAACCCCGGAACUGCACUGAAUACUGCCUUGCUUGAGCACUGGAGAGGGAACUGGAAUUUACGGUGUAGCAGUGAAAUGCGUAGAUAUCGUAAGGAAGACCAGUGGCGAAGGCGGGUCUCUGGACAGUUCCUGACGCUGAGGCACGAAGGUCAGGGGAGCAAACGGG